UCACGAUAGUGGCGUAAGAACGACGGAUACGUAUCGCGCAAAGUUUAGCUGUUAAAUCCUAGGGUACCCUGUAUAUAACUAAAGACACGAACAUACAUAUACGUAGCCGGAUCUGAGAAAAUUCGCGUGUUUCGUUUUUCCAUCCGCGGAUAUAACGGGACCGUUUAAGCAUACGGAUCCCGUGACUCUCUUCUUUUUCAGCCCCCUUAUCCUGCCCUUCUUUGUUUCGUGUCGUUUUCGUGAUUUGCGAGAGCCUCUCGAGUUCUUUUUUUUCUCUCUCCCUUUCUUUUCCCUCCUGUAUGCUUUUUUUCUUUUUUCUUUUUUUUCUUUUUUUUUUUUGUUAUUCUGCCGGGGAGAAUUCACUAGCCUCGCGAUCGUCGAGGAAGGAAACGUGGAAAGAGCGCGGAGGAACUUUCCCCGACCAGCGAGCAAUGCUCGGAUUUCAUCGUUGUCGCGAGUUGGAAUAUUCUAAGCAUUUUGUUCUCCCUGCACUCGUUCGUAAUCCUCGUUAAACCGUUUCGGACACGAAUAUAUUCUAUCGAAGCUGGAGCUUUCUCUCUCGUAAGAAAAUUUCACAGUUCUCUGUCUCUUUUCCUCGACUGUCUGUUUUCCAUGAAAAUUCGCCACAUGAUUUUGUGGCUGUAGAAGUAAAUGAAAAGAAUAGAAAGAAGAACGGUUUGUUUGCACAGCGCGCUUUAUCUUAUCUCGUUUCUCGGAAAUUUCCAAUUUUUCGAUACUUUUCUAAUAAAAAUAAUCCGAAUAUAAAUAUCGGUUUCGAGAGUUUCGUACGAAAAAUUCCUUUCCGCGAAACUUACCGCGCUAUAAUACGAGGAAACUUUUCCAACCAACCGCGAGAUCACCGGAAAUAAAGGAUCGCGACGAAAAUUUCUCGCCAGAGACAACGAACUCUGAUUCACUGGGAAACGGCGUGCAGGCAGCGACAAAAUUCAAAACGAUCGGUGUUUUUGCAAUGUUCGUAUAAUUGUAAUUCGGACGAAGCGACGGUGUCGUUUCGUGGAAAACACGGUUAAUUCGAUUCGAGUCCCGUUUGUGUUAACGCGGCAGGUACGAAUGAAUAAAACAAAUUGGUUGGAGAGCCACGUUGAAAUUGAAUAUUUAUGUAGAAAUAUUCACGAAAGUGGAUAUUUACGUAGAAAGGAAUUCAAUGAUUCGUAACAAGAUGAAAUUUAGACACGCGCUGUGUACAUUACCGCUCAAAAGUAUCCCGAUACUUGUAGGUUUUCAGCAAAAUUGGAUAAGUAGAGGUACGAUCGUUUUAUCCCGCGCGAUCAGCGUUUCUUGAUAGAGAAUUUUAUCCUCCGAUCAGCACGUAGAUUCCAAGUAUUAUGAUUUUUAGAAGCUAAUUCGCGGUGAGAAAAAUAUCGCCAAUCUGUGUGCAUUAAGUAGUCGCGCGUGUCGUUGCCCCGUCUUACAGCGAAUAAUCGAAAUUUGUAGUCUUUUGAUUCUAUUAAACGAUACCAAGCACUAUUUGCGAUCGUUAAUUCGUUAUU
rnacentral:misc_RNA from 1 species